UACGUAGGUGGCAAGCGUUAUCCGGAAUUACUGGGCGUAAAGCGCACGCAGGCGGUCUUUUAAGUCUGAUGUGAAAGCCCACGGCUCAACCGUGGAGGGUCAUUGGAAACUGGGGGACUUGAGUACAGAAGAGAAGAGUGGAAUUCCACGUGUAGCGGUGAAAUGCGUAGAGAUGUGGAGGAACACCAGUGGCGAAGGCGACUCUUUGGUCUGUAACUGACGCUGAGGCGCGAAAGCGUGGGGAGCAAACAGG
rnacentral:rRNA from 1 species